UUUAGCCUCUCAGUUUUCCCAGGUGUGCUAUGUUUACUGAGUACCUCUUAACUUAUCCAUUUUUCAUUUCAUUUUUAUUUUUUCCAUUUAUGUUUGCUGUCAUGCUUCUAAGCCUCUCUGAUUAUGGUGAGAAGAGGACUUUCAAUGGUGUGGUACAGUGGCUGUGAUUACUGUGCUACCAAGAAAGUGGAGAAAGAUUUCAAGUUUAUGACACUUGGUGAAAAUUAAUAGCCUGCCUGCCUCCCUGCCUGAGGUGUGCAGGGGCCCAGUGCUUCCCUGUGUAGCUGUGCGGGGGCGGUGCUUCCCUCCGCAGUUCCAGCACCCCCCAGGACCACCUGAGCCAAGCACCAGCAGGCAGGUGCUACCUGGGUAGCCCCCACGCAGCUCAGGGACCACUUGGCCUGCUGACAGCUGUAUCCCCCGCACGUGCUGCCAAAGAGGCAGUGGGGGCCCAAAACUGGAAACAGUACUCCAGAUGUGACCUCAAAAGUGCCAAAUAGAGGGAAAGAAUCACUUCCUUCAGUCUGCUGACAACACUCCUACUAAUGCAGGUCAGUAUGCCAUCAGCCUUAUUCACAACAAGGGCACACUGUUGGCUCAUAUUAAGCUUAUCGUCCACUGUAACCCC